CCUACGGGUGGCAGCAGUGAGGAAUAUUGGUCAAUGGACGAGAGUCUGAACCAGCCAAGUAGCGUGAAGGAUGACUGCCCUAUGUGUUGUAAACUUCUUUUAUAUGGGAAUAAAACGUUCCACGUGUGGGAUUUUGUAUGUACCAUAUGAAUAAGGCUCGGCUAACUCCGUGCCAGCAGCCGCGGUAAUACGGAGGAUCCGAGCGUUAUCCGGAUUUAUUGGGUUUAACGGGAGCGUAGGUGGAUUGUUAAGUCAGUUGUGAAAGUUUGCGGCUCAACCGUAAAAUUGCAGUUGAAACUGGCAGUCUUGAGUACAGGAGAGGUGGGCGGAAUGCGUGGUGUAGCGGUGAAAUGCAUAGAUAUCACGAAGAACACCGAUUGCGAAGGCAGUUCACUGGACUGCAACUGACACUGAGGCUCGAAAGUGUGGGUAUCAAACAGGAUUAGAUACCCUAGUAGUC
rnacentral:rRNA from 1 species